rnacentral:rRNA from 1 species
GAGUUUGAUCGUGGCUCAGGAUGAACGCUGGCGGCGUGCCUAAUACAUGCAAGUCGAGCGAACGGACGAGAAGCUUGCUUCUCUGAUGUUAGCGGCGGACGGGUGAGUAACACGUGGAUAACCUACCUAUAAGACUGGGAUAACUUCGGGAAACCGGAGCUAAUACCGGAUAAUAUUUUGAACCGCAUGGUUCAAAAGUGAAAGACGGUCUUGCUGUCACUUAUAGAUGGAUCCGCGCUGCAUUAGCUAGUUGGUAAGGUAACGGCUUACCAAGGCAACGAUGCAUAGCCGACCUGAGAGGGUGAUCGGCCACACUGGAACUGAGACACGGUCCAGACUCCUACGGGAGGCAGCAGUAGGGAAUCUUCCGCAAUGGGCGAAAAGCCUGACGGAGCAACGCCGCGUGAGUGAUGAAGGUCUUCGGAUCGUAAAACUCUGUUAUUAGGGAAGAACAUAUGUGUAAGUAACUGUGCACAUCUUGACGGUACCUAAUCAGAAAGCCACGGCUAACUACGU